ACGAGUUAGGGUCUUCUAGGCCCGACCUCCCAACCCUUUGUUUAUUGAACCUCUGUUGCUUCGGCGGACCCGUCUCACGACCGCCGGAGGAUCGCUGUGAGGCAUCCUCUGGCCAGUGCCCGCCGAUAGCCAAACUUGAACUCUGAAUCAAAUCGUGUCAUAUGUCUAAGUCAUUGAUUAAAUAAAGCA
rnacentral:misc_RNA from 1 species